GAAAAUCGCGUAAAAAUAAGUUUAGUGUGAUUAUGACUCAUGACUCGCAAACAAUUUGGAUUUGGUAUUAUGCAUUGCGUCGAAAUGCCAACUUCAUUGAUUGAUGAAGUACACCGAAUUAUUUAUAAUUUGACGAGUUGUCCCAGAAAAUUCUUCAGUUUAAUUUGAACUAGAUCUAUGCAGAGAAUUGAUUUAUUCAUUUCAUUUUCAUGGCAUAUCAUUGCCAUUGUGAUUGUCGAAUUGGGGCGCCAUGGGUGUGUGGACGAGUUGACCAAUGUCGUGUCAACGACUAACCAGUGUACAUGUAUUUUGAUAUUUGUGGACUACAUAACUAGACUUUUUGUGUGGACGAGUUAACUGGCAUUCAUUUUGAAUGAUUACAGUUGUUUUCGGUAAAUUUAAACUGCGGUACACUAUAUUGGUACUUGAAAAAAGGUGAAUUUAUUUCGUCUUUAUUUUUUUUUCAGAGGAGGUAAAUUAAUAAUCCACCAGUGCAGUAUGUGAAAAAUGUGUCUAGACAAGAUGAUGGUGAGCUUGUGACCCGGAUGGAUGAAUGAUGGAAAGACAAAUAAUAAGUGCUGUAUACAGUAUUUGGUAUAAAUCAGUCAUUGAAAGUCAUUACAGCUGAAGAUUUUAAUGACGCUCUGUACCGGUACUAACAAUGUUGGUUACAGUCAAUGGAAGGUUAAUCAAACCUAUGAAUGUGGUCGAAUAAGGUGUGGAGUUGAUUUAUAGCAACAUUGAAUGUGGGUUAAAUAUGGUGUGUUAAAGAUGCAAGAAAACACACGAAAUGUGUAAACUGUAAUGGAUUAUAGCCUGACGCUAUCCAAAUUACAAAACACCUGCCCUUGAGUCUAUGAAUAUUUAUUUUUUAUGGCACCCACAUUUUCAUGUCGCUGCCUCUUUCCGUCCAGAUGUACCUCCGGUGAAAUUUGUUUGUGUUCACAAUUAUCCGAUUUUAAUGAAAUUUAAAUGUAUAUUUAUAUUCAAAUCAUCUGGGAUCGGAUUCAUUUUGAACUCUAACCUCAUGGAUUAUGGCCCCUUAUAUUGUGGAAAAAUUGGGUUUUUAGCAUGUGGGCCCAUCCAGAGGAUUUUGGCAUAGAAUAUUACACCUGAUUGUACGAUCCAUUGUUUUUAACUUCUGGAUCCUCUAGAAUUCUCAGUUUCAUAUGCCAACAUUUCCCAUGCUCGAAUUAACCCCUCUUUGCUGAAGAUUUGGCUUUGGAGUUCAGAGUUAUGCCCCAUAGCCAAAAACUUUGAAUUUGAUAGGAGUUACAGUUUUUAACCGAUCCUUUUCAGAUUUGGUGUGAAGCAUUGGAUUCAUGAGAUCACAAACCCCAACGAUAUGCAGCGAUUCGAAGAUAACCUUUUCAAAAAAGCUUGUGAAUGUGAUGAGGCUACAAUGUUUUAAUUUGCCGUGUAGCAUUGGGACCAUGAGAGGACAAAUCCAAUAAAUUUCAGCAAUCCACACUUAACCCACUUUUUGGGAAAUCAUGUGAACGUGAUAAGGCUACAAUUUUUUUAACAGAUUUUUUUCUAAUUCUAUAUGAAACAUUGGGACAAUGGGUGAUUAGCCUUAUUUAUAUUCCUUAUUCUCUUUUGCAAUAUGUGGGUGUAUCUUAGAUGGCAACCACUUGUUAAUUGUAUCAAUUGUGUUGUAAUAUUUUGAAAACAAUAAUAAAUAAUAAAUAUCAAA